AAAGGCCUUGCUUGAGCUUGAUAUCAACCCAAUUAUGAAAUCAUAAUAAUAAUAAUUCUAAUAAAAAUCCUAUAACUGGGUAUCAAUUUCUUCUAGCAUGUAGUGUUUAAUGCGAAUGAGCUUGAAUUUUGCCGUUCCAGCUCUGGGUUUGUGCCCAAAUCAUUUGACAGCCUUUCACACAACUGUCUAUAAGCUGAUGAA
rnacentral:misc_RNA from 1 species